UACAGAGGUCCCAAGCGUUUGUUCGGAUUUACUGGGCGUAAAGGGUGCGUAGGUGGUGAGGUAAGUCUGAUGUGAAAUCUCCGAGCUUAACUCGGAAAUGGCAUUGGAAACUACCUUGCUAGAGGGUUGGAGGGGGGACUGGAAUACUUGGUGUAGCAGUGAAAUGCGUAGAUAUCAAGUGGAACACCAGUGGCGAAGGCGAGUCCCUGGACAACUCCUGACACUGAGGCACGAAAGCUAGGGGAGCAAACAGG
rnacentral:rRNA from 1 species